AUGAGAUGGCCUUCGUUGAACCGCUGUGGCCUCGCUGUCAAACCACCGCGGCCUCAGGUCAGCUCAAGCGCCGCCCUUGUGCUUUGUCAGCCGCCAUCGUUGAGCUGCCGUCAUGCUCACCUCUGCUUCAGCCCGGCUCUGCCGUGCGUCGCUGUCGCACCGGGUCGCCGCUCCGGCCUUAAACCGCAGUUUUGUGACGAGUGCUGGCGAGCGCCUCGCGCCUCCGUUGGCGUUGCCCCUGCAUUGAGCAUCGCCCGCUCCGUACCGUACCAAGCUACUCACAUCUGUACAGUGUUGCAAGUUGCCAAGGAUCAGAUCCUGAGGCUACAAGACUUGAACCGGUCUAUAUCACAGUCAACUAUGGAGAAUCUCAAGCCAACUCCUCAAAGUCGCCUUGAGACGCGGGGGCUAUGA
rnacentral:rRNA from 1 species